GCAGCUCCUCUCAGGGGAAGUACCGGGCUUGUCGCGGCAACAUCCUCGCAUUAACACCGUUCAAAAACACGUGGUUCUUUUUAUCUCCAAAACCGCGGUUGUAAUCCAGGAUUUCGGCUUUUUUUUAAAUCUGAAAUUGGUGUUUUAUCCACUCAAAACGGUGUUGCUAGUAUGUUGUGGUAUGUCUCCAGACAGUGGAAGCUUUUUUUCGGCGUCUCUGUUGGCUAACAAGUCCUCCGGUGCAUCUCCCCGGCAGCUCCACAACAACCCCCGAUCUGGUCAGCCGCUGGUCGGGUAAAUCACUGCCUCCUCCGUAACAGUGAAUACAUCUCUACAACGUUAAAAAGACAGAAAAGCGUGUCCACAUUUCGCAUGGAGAGGGUGAGGAUACAGGUCGAGGAGUGAAAACGGGAGACAAUGGGAACCGGGAUGGACCAACGGACCGAGAGAGACAGCCGCCAGGAGCGUCUCACGCCUGCCAUCUGUCAAGUCAAAAAACACACAAAACCGAAGCUGUUCCGGUGUCGCUGCCUCCUGCCCACUUGAUGCAGCUGAUGUUCCGCUCGGCAGGGGAGCGGCGGGGCUCUUUUCACUCACUGAGACACACAAAC